UUGACAUGGAAAUGAGAAUUGUUAUUAUUUCACCAACUGAUCGCGAGAUCAGUCGAUAAGCUGAAAGCCCAGCAGUCGGACUCUCAGGUUAUCUCCUCAUCAGGCUAAUCACGGUUAUUCGACCCGGCUCUGCCGGGUCUUUUUUUG
rnacentral:sRNA from 1 species